rnacentral:rRNA from 1 species
GUCUCGUUGGUGACCAGCGGAGGGAUCAUUACCGAGUUUACAACUCCCAAACCCAAUGUGAACCAUACCAAACUGUUGCCUCGGCGGGGUCACGCCCCGGGUGCGUCGCAGCCCCGGAACCAGGCGCCCGCCGGAGGGACCAACCAAACUCUUUCUGUAGUCCCCUCGCGGACGUUAUUUCUUACAGCUCUGAGCAAAAAUUCAAAAUGAAUCAAAACUUUCAACAACGGAUCUCUUGGUUCUGGCAUCGAUGAAGAACGCAGCGAAAUGCGAUAAGUAAUGUGAAUUGCAGAAUUCAGUGAAUCAUCGAAUCUUUGAACGCACAUUGCGCCCGCCAGUAUUCUGGCGGGCAUGCCUGUCCGAGCGUCAUUUCAACCCUCGAACCCCUCCGGGGGGUCGGCGUUGGGGAUCGGGAACCCCUAAGACGGGAUCCCGGCCCCGAAAUACAGUGGCGGUCUCGCCGCAGCCUCUCAUGCGCAGUAGUUUGCACAACUCGCACCGGGAGCGCGGCGCGUCCACGUCCGUAAAACACCCAACUUCUGAAAUGUUGACCUCGGAUCAGGUAGGAAUACCCGCUGAACUUAAGCAU